ACUCCUACGGGAGGCAGCAGUGGGGAAUUUUGGACAAUGGGCGAAAGCCUGAUCCAGCCAUGCCGCGUGCAGGAUGAAGGCCUUCGGGUUGUAAACUGCUUUUGUACGGAACGAAACGGCCUUUUCUAAUAAAGAGGGCUAAUGACGGUACCGUAAGAAUAAGCACCGGCUAACUACGUGCCAGCAGCCGCGGUAAUACGUAGGGUGCAAGCGUUAAUCGGAAUUACUGGGCGUAAAGCGUGCGCAGGCGGUUAUGUAAGACAGUUGUGAAAUCCCCGGGCUCAACCUGGGAACUGCAUCUGUGACUGCAUAGCUAGAGUACGGUAGAGGGGGAUGGAAUUCCGCGUGUAGCAGUGAAAUGCGUAGAUAUGCGGAGGAACACCGAUGGCGAAGGCAAUCCCCUGGACCUGUACUGACGCUCAUGCACGAAAGCGUGGGGAGCAAACAGGAUUAGAUACCCGGGUAGUCCC
rnacentral:rRNA from 1 species